rnacentral:rRNA from 1 species
GUGAGGAAUAUUGCGCAAUGGAGGCAACUCUGACGCAGCCAUGCCGCGUGCAGGAAGAAGGCGCUACGCGUUGUAAACUGCUUUUAACCGGGAAGAAACCCCAGGACGUGUCCUGGGUUGACGGUACCGGAGGAAUAAGCACCGGCUAACUUCGUGCCAGCAGCCGCGGUAAUACGAAGGGUGCAAGCGUUAUCCGGAUUCAUUGGGUUUAAAGGGUGCGUAGGCGGAGCGUUAAGUCAGUGGUGAAAUCCUGCAGCUUAACUGUAGACUUGCCAUUAAGACUGGCGCUCUUGAGUGCGCUUGAAGUGGGCGGAAUGUAUCAUGUAGCGGUGAAAUGCUUAGAUAUGAUACAGAACACCGAUAGCGAAGGCAGCUUGCUGAACCAUUAUUGACGCUGAGGCACGAAAGCGUGGGGAGCGAACAGGAUUAGAAACCCUGGUAGUCC